GUAAAUAAUAAUAAUAAAAUUAGAUAUGAAUACUUGGAAUCCAAAAAUAAGUAAAUAACUCCAUGAUAUACUAGUUCGGAACUCUAUUUCAAUGCAGAGUAUGUUAGCAAAUGUUUCCACACUUAAAAAAUCUAUUGUUACUGCGUACCUUGUUUUUAAUCCAUUUAUGUAUACGUAUAAGAAUAUAAAUAUAGAUGCUUUUAGGGCUAUAUAUUCCAGCAGAAUGUAAAGGUUCAAAAUCAUAAUCCAUGUAAUUUGAUCUUUAGUGUAGAGAUUACAAUAAGUAAUAAGCUUGUUGUUGGUUAUUGGUUCCAGUCAGCUUAGUUGACUUAACCGUUUUCUGUUAAGUUUAGUUUUUUUUUUUCAGUUAUGAUCUCUUUUUGUAUAUAUAAGUCUCUUGUUUAAGUUUUGAGACUUAAGAAAUCCAUUCUACUAUUUUGUACAGACUGAAACUUGUAAAGAGAGUUUGAAAGUUGUAAGAGAGAGAAAUUGAAGAAGUAAUAAGAUUGACUGCCAGUGGAGUAGGCCAGAGAUACUUUGUCUCUGUGUUCAAACCACGUAUAUCUUGAUGUUCUGUUUUUGUUUUCGGUUCUGUGUUUAAUUCUUAUCUUGUGUUGGAUAAAGGCUUGUGUUCUUGACAGUAAGUUCUCUGCACAACAAAGCUAAACAAUAUUGCUGCAGUCACUUGAAUAAAACAGAACAGAGAGAAAAACUUAGGGAGAACUAAAGCAAACAAACCAACCCUUUCUUUGUUAUAUUAGUAGUUAGUAUUUAGUAUUUUGUCCAAAUUAUUUUUGAAGUUUCUAAUACUUAUGGUCGUUCCACAGCUUGUAUGUUUAAUUCGUGAACAAAGUAAUGUCCUUGCUAGACAGGUUGUUGAGUAUUCUACUCACAAUGCAUACAUCUUCUGGAAAGGCUACAAUGUCAUUGUCGACUUCUUUAUGGAAGAAGUAUGAGGCUGCUUGGCAUGCUGGAAACUGGAAUUUUUCCUUGCUUUACAUGGGAGAUAAUUCACAGAGUGAGCAAAACUAAAAGUGGCCAUUUCAAUGAAAAUCUGCACAGAUAUUUCGACUGGUUUCCCUGUGGUUCACUCUAUCAGAUAGACAAGAUAUCAUAACUAACAUUGCAUGGCCGGCUGAUAAAGUCAUAAUUAGCUAAGAAAAUGGACUCACAACAAAGGCAAGUGCACAAAGGAUGAUGAAUUGAAGGAUGGAGCAAGUUUCAUGCAUGGUUUACUUUUGUGUAUCUUGUAAUGUUUCUGUUUUUCAUUUUUGAAGUAAAAAAUUUUCAAGAUUAUAAAAUUUUAUUAUGUUAUGCUUUCAAACUUAAGUUAGAACUAAGAUCUCAUGAAGUAGACACAUUCAUGGUUUGAAUUAGUUAUUGUUUAAUGUAAUACUUAUGGUUUAUCAAUCUAUUGAGAAUUAC